UGGGUGCCAUGGUCCCUGGGUGGCUGUCGUGCCCCUGGGCGGCCAGGAUGCCAGUGCCUGUACCAACUUCUUGGAUGCUGAUUUCAGGACCAAAAUUGAUGUAUUGUGUUAGCUGUUUCAGGGCCAAGACUCAUGUAAUGUGUAGCUGUUUUUAGGACAAAAAACUCAUGUACUGUGUUGCUGUUUUGUGGACCAAAAUUCAUGUAAUAUGUUGCUGUUUUCGAGUACUAUUUCAGAUUGCUUUUAUUUCAAUUGUUGCAGCUAGACAACAUGAUUUUUUUGCUACAAUAGAUUUCUAGUUACAGUAUAGCAUAUUUAGUAGGAGACCAUCAUUAAUAUUUUCAUCAUCUUUUUUAGGGACUUGUUGCAAGCUGAGGGCACUAGGAGACCCUUGCUGAUCAAGGUACGUGAGCACAAGCAGUCAGAUUGCAUUUUUCUAGAUUGGUUCAAACAAUUCAUAAAUCCAUUAGUCUGUCGAGUGUACAUUUUAAUUACCUUGCAUUUUUUAGAUGGGUUCAAAGAAGAUGUAUCUUGAGUAUUGCAAUAACUAUAAUCAUUACCUACGAAGGAGAAGGGUGCUUGUUUUCACUACCAUCCGCAUUGUUUUAUUGUGGUAUAAGUUGCAACUGAAUAGAUUGAAUAAGAAGCACACCAAAUACGGUUCUUUGUUACAAAGAGAUUUGGAAAGGGAAAGGCGGCUGGACCGUUUGUACCAUGGGACCGAAGCCAACUGCAUUAGUGAGUUGCGUAUGCGCAAAUUUGUUUUUCACAGGUUAUGUGGUCAUUUAAGGACCCAUGGGCUUUUAGUGGACUCUAUCAAUGUCUCAAUUGAAGAACAGGUAGCCAUGUUUAUGAAAUUUGUUGGCCAUAGAUGGACAAAUAGAUCUGUUGGUUUUGAAUUCUUGCGAUCUGGAGAGACAGUUAGUAGGUACUUUAACGCUGUUUUAGAUGCUUUAUGUGUCCUAUCACGUGACCUCAUUACCAUGAGAACCACGGAGACACAUCCAAAGAUAUCUAAUAGCUCGGGAAGGUUUUAUCCAUACUUUGAGGUACAUAUAUAUAACUGGAGUCCAUCCUUAUAUCAACCUUUAACAUGUACUAAUAAAAUUAUGUUUUUUCAUUGUUGUUAGAAAUGUAUUGGAGCACUAGAUGGCACACAUAUACCAGCAUGGGUUCCUAUUUAUAUGCAAGAUAGGUUCAGGGGUAGAAAACACUACCCAACACAGAAUGUAUUAGCUGCGGUGGACUUUGAUCUUAGGUUUACGUAUGUGUUGGCUGGAUGGGAAGGAUCAGCUCAUGAUUCCUUUGUGCUCCAAGACGCAUUGUCACGCCCUUCGGGCUUAAAAAUUCUUGAAGGUCAUUACUUUCUAGCUGAUGCUGGUUAUGCAGCAAGACCUGGUAUACUACCCCCGUACCGUGGUGUUCGGUACCAUCUUAAGGAGUUUCAGGGUACUAGACGACCAGAAAAUCCAAAGGAA